GAGUUGUGUGAUGCAGGUGUGUGCGACCGGAAGGAAGCUGUCGUCUGCUGUGCUUUGGAUCAUCAACUUGAGUGCCUGAGAGAGAGAGAGAGAGAGAGUUUAUAAGAGAAAAAGAAAGAGAGGGAGAAAAUAUUGAGGAAUGACUGAGAAGAAAGGAAGGAAGGAAGAAAAGGGAGGAGGAUACAAGAAGGAAGGAAGGAAGAGGAGGACUAGGAGGAAGGAAGGAAGGAAGGAAGGAAGGAAGGAAGGAAGGAAGGGAAGAGGACAAGAAGGAAGAGAAAAGGAGGACACACUCUCUCUCUCUCUCUCUCUCUCUCUCUCUCUCUCUCUCUCUCUCUCUCUCUCUCUCUCUCUCUCUCUCUCUCUCUCUCCCACAGACCCACAGGAUGUCCCCCCACAGGAUGUUGACAAACCCCACAGUCACUCCCCUCAGCCCCUCUCUCUCUCUGUCUCUCACCUACCUUCAUGCCCAGAAUAGGAACCCUGUCAGUGCCCGUCAGGAACUUCAAAAACAACUUCUUCUGCUCCAGGGAGAGUUUGUGAAAUACUUCCCAGAACGUGCGUAUGACCGGGUGGUCUGGGAAACAUUCGCCCUGGAAACACCGACAGAAAUCAAUAAACGGAAGGAUAUUAGUGUGAA